UACAUGUGGGGCAAGCGUUGUUCGGAAUUACUGGGCAUAAAGGGUGCGUAGGCGGCUUGUUAAGUCAGGGGUGAAAUCCCACGGCCCAACCGUGGAACUGCCUUUGAUACUGGCGAGCUUGAGUGCGUGAGGGGUAACCGGAACGAGUAGUGUAGCGGUGAAAUGCGCAGAUAUCAGGAGGAACACCGGUGGCGAGGGCGGGUCUCUGGGCCGAUACUGACGCUGAGGAGCGAAAGCGUGGGGAGCGAACAGG
rnacentral:rRNA from 1 species